rnacentral:rRNA from 1 species
UUACUGGGCGUAAAGCGCGCGUAGGCGGCCAAUUAAGUCAAAUGUGAAAUCCCCGAGCUUAACUUGGGAAUUGCAUUCGAUACUGGUUGGCUAGAGUGUGGGAGAGGAUGGUAGAAUUCCAGGUGUAGCGGUGAAAUGCGUAGAGAUCUGGAGGAAUACCGAUGGCGAAGGCAGCCAUCUGGCCUAACACUGACGCUGAGGUGCGAAAGCAUGGGGAGCAAACAGGAUUAGAUACCC